ensembl:lncRNA
AAGACUUUUAAAAUGCUGCUCAAUUUGUGAGCUGAAUUUAUGAGGUGAAUUAAAGUCUCCAAGUUAGCGGGUGAGAGUAUUUUUUAAUUGUGCCAUUAUAAUAUGAAGAAAAUGUAUAAAUGUAACGCUGCCAUCCCAGUUCCUAACAUUUUAAAGCCUCCUCAUAUUAUGGCAGUACUAUUAAACUACAUUGUAACUAUACUAGUAAUUGUCCUAGUAACUAUAUGAUUAUCUUUCCAACUGGCACUCACAUUAACUUCUCGCCUCACCCCUGCAACCUGAUUGGUGCAAACAAACUGGGGUGUUACCGUGUCAGCUGGCCGUGGAUGGAUAGCAUUGCUGCAUCCUGGAAAAGGAUUUAUGACCCAAUUAACUUUUUAAUCUUCAGGCUCCAAAACGGCCACAAUUACUUUUGGCUGUUUGCUGCUGAGCUCUGGCUACUGUUGGUGAUACGCUCAGAUACAGAUACAUCUUGCAGUUAAGCUUUUCUCCAGCAACAGGUGGUGGGAACUCUCCCUCAACGGCAGGAGCUUUCACUAUUAUUGGACCAACUUGUGAUAUUGCUUCCUCGGUGUAACUACAGGGUGUCUGUAAUAACCGACCAGAUUCCCUCAUCCUGAGCCUCGCUCCCAUGUACCAACACGCUCUGACAGCUGCAUUGAACAUAAGUUAAAUCAGCUUGAUGCAACUCCAGUCCAUUUCCUAUUCCACACACUCACAGACAAACACACGCACGGCACUCUGAGGAAAUAAAUGAAAGUUUAAAAGGUGGCCUCGCCGGUGAGUGUUUUGUGAGUGGGCGGGAGACGGCUGGCUGCAGAUCCUUCUGGAAAGCAGACAACUGGGAUAUGGAGCGAGGAGGCCAGAGACAGACACGGAAUGGGCAGCUAGAAAGAAAGAAAAAAAGAUGAGAAAAAUUACAUAAAAAGAGACUCAGACAGAAAUACAGCUGAGAUGAAGACAUUCUGAGAUGGAGGAAGAGUGCAGAAGAGAGGGAGGAAGUGGAGGCCAAAGAGAGAGAAAGAAAUUACUUAUUCAGAUUGGAAAUCUUUUUAUCGACCCGCUUUCUGCGGCUUCGUGGUUGGGGAAAUCUAUUGGUCGGACUACCACCCACCACCCCCUGCCAUGUCAGAGCGAUUUGCAACCAGAGGCCUCUAAAUCAAAUCUGGUUGACUGCAGACUUCUUGCUCCAAUAACAGAGAAACAACACAGAGAAAGUCACGAUUCAGUCAAAAGGAAAAUACAAUUUAUGCUAGUGUAACUUUAUAACCAUUGGCAGAAUAACCAUGGGCCUCUAAAAUCCUGCAUUCUACAUUUCCCUUUGCAUGCCAGUGGGUUGAUUGGUUUACGGCACUAAACAAGCGGACAGCAGCUUUCCUGCAACUAAAGUGGCAGAUGGCGGAACAGGGAGGACUUUAACAUGUUUAAAGCGAGAACAACGUAAGAUAGAAAAGAUAUAUCUUUAUUAGUCCCACAAUGGGGAAAUUCACACGAUUGCAGCAGCAAAGUGGGCAGUGCACACAAGAUAUAUAGUAAAAGCAACAAGAGCAGCAGUAAAAAGUAAGUAGGAAAAGAAAUGUAUAAUAAUAUAAACAAAAAUAAAAGUAAAAGGAGUGUAAAGACCACAGUAACUGAAUAUAAUAGGACCUAAUAAAUAUAAGUAUAUGUAGACAUAGUAUACCCCAGUGGAUAUUUCACAUUGUCAUUUUUAUUGCACAUUUUAGUAUUAGUAUUUAGUAUUAGUCUUGGUAAUGUUCUGUCGUUCACUGGGUGACUUGGUUGUGCAGCCUGCCAGCAGCAGGAAGGACCUGCAGUACCUCUCCUUCACACACCGUAUGUGAAUCAGUAACUGGGUGACGUGAAAGUUUGGCAAGCGCAACUAUAACUGCCAGCAUGAGAUGAGCUUCUUUGCCUGUGCUAAUUAUUAGAGCAGAUAUAAAGAUUAAGUGGGUUGCUACACUAUGCAGCAACAUGAUAAAACGUGCACCCAGUAAAGUGGGUGCAAUUGCAUACAUCAAGGUCGCUUUUAACUAUAUGUAACUAUCUAAAUCUAUAGAUUCAGAUCAACGGUACAAACAAAGAAACAUGUGACCUUUGUCAGGUCGAGCUGUGCACCACAUUUUUUAACCGUGUUUAAAUCCAACAAUUCAUCUGUUAUUGAGUUUCUAUAAAUUCAGUUUUCUGUGUAAAAAUGUAUUAGUAGUGCCGCUUUAUCACAGGAAAAUGGUGUAUUUAUUUUCAGCUUUCGUCCUUUCGUUUGGCUUUCCAAGAAAGCUGAUGCAACUCAGCUCAGCUGUCAAGUAGAGACGGUAACUGUUGGUUCUCAUGUUGAGACUCUCGGAAGAGGUGCAGAGAGCAUGAGAGAAGGGUAGGAGAUGGCAGGUGAGGGGAGAAGAAGCAAUAUAUAAUGUGGAAACAAGUGGAAGGAGGACAGAGGACGAGGGAGUAGAAUGGAAAGCUUGAGAUGGUGAUGAGGUGGAGGCGACAUACGAUGAGACUUACAGUAGAAUGGGAGAAUUUUGUGCAGUCUAUGGUAGUGAAAAAAAAAAAAGCCCUAAGGAAGAAUACAAUGUCAUCCAAGAAAAGAGUGAGAAAAUGAUGAUAACGGGGAUUUAAAUGUGGAGCAAAUGGUGGCAGAGAAGGAGCUGUCAGCGGCUGUUGGGACGCCAUGAAGAUGUGGUGAGUCCAUUGGGUCGGCACCUCGCUGUCAUCACCAUUAGCACUGAGACGCGUCAGAGGGAGAGAGGGAGAGAACGAGAGCGCGCAGACAUUAUGCAGGGGAAGGCUGCCUUACUCUGUGUGUUCUCAUGAAUGAAUUUACGUAGGUUAAUAAAGUGAAUGACAAAACUACAGCUCAGGGGGGAAAUGAGAGACAUGCUGGCAUCUGUAGAAUGACCUUUGGUCCCUGCUGUCAGCUCCUGCCGCCAGGCCGCAGGGGCCGAACAGAGGAGGUGGAAGGAACAUGAUGUCCUCAGCAAACACGCUGCAGUGUAAUUCAUGCAUCGCUCCUCUGGCUCCAGGGAAGGUUUUACACCGCGAUGAAGAGGCACAGCUACAGAGUUUCAGACGAGGACCAGGCACAAGCUGUCUCUGCAGGGCUGCAUGUGAGCUACACACUCAUUUUCCCGGAGCCAGUUCAUAAAAACAGGACGUGUACUGUAGCUUAAGGAUUUUGGGGAAUUUAGGAUUCCUUGUCGUAGAAUACCAAAAAGCAAAAACGACCAUCCAUGGUCUCCCUCUGAUUGGCUUUCUAGAAUAUCCUUACCCUGACCCUGACCGAUACGACCGAAAAGUGCUUGCCAAUGACAAGCAGCAGCAGUGGAGGGCGAUGCCCUACCAGGACUUAUGAUUUAGCAUCCAGAGAUGCAGACAGGGGAAAUGACGUGUAUGGCAAAAAGCAUACGCGAGCGAUAACGUGUCUUUGCAUAAUUUCAUCAGGCUUGUCUAAGGCAAUGCUUCAAAGCGGCCGUCAAAAUACAGGGACGGAAAUGCGGCUGCAUGGACCGGGGUUGCCGUGGAGAGGAACAAAUGCAGUCUGCUGUUCAUUGAUGAGGUCCAGAAGGAAGGACGAAACCAAGUUCUCCUCUGUCAAUGUGACCGAGCUUUGGCUCCAAUUAGCAUAUCAUCAUCCAUAAUCAGAGAGAAUUUAAUAACUGAUUACAAACACGCAGGCAUUUCCUCUUUGUGUGUUGUGUUCUAAAUCCUUCUGGGUUUCCAAUCUGCACAAGAGGUUGAAUUAAAUUUGUGAGUUACAAGUUUAGCGAGCCUUAGGAAUAAAAAGUCCUAAAUAAAACCGCUGCCAAAUCAGUUCCCGUUUAAUGCUGUUAAAUUGUACAAAAUUAAAUAACAUUCCUGUGAGCGAGUAGCUCUUAAUCCCAGAUUUUUAAUUAAUUGCUGGUUUUAAUUAAGUAAUUAGUUUUGAAUUUAACCGUAGCUACUGUAUGUUAUUUUCAUCAUGUUGAAAUAAAGCACAUGAUAGCAGCGUGUCCAAUCCGGAGCUUUCUGCCAGACUGUAACGUAACCUUGAAGUGUUCAGAGUGAACAGGAGCUUUUUCUAAACCUCUUUGUUUUGUUCUCAAAUGGUUCGGCUGUAGACGCUUGUGCACAAACGUAAUAAAGUUGAAAUGCUGAUUUGUUCGAUAACUGUCUGGAGAACAAAUCAAGAAGUUAAUCAGUACCGAGAUGUCAAUCAACUUUAGAGGCGACGAACUGAAUGUGUUAAUGGAUCCUGUUUUUAGUCUUGAACUGGAUUCAGUUUGCUCCUCUGACCUGCUGGUCAGCCCCUUCUGGAGCCGGUUGUGAGUUGUUCCUGUUGGUUAAUCAAUGUCAAUCCCUUUAAGAAGCAACCUCACUGAGACAACAGCAAACGCUCCACCUUACUGGCUCCAAAUAUGAAAUUGAUUUAGUCCACAGACACUUUAAUGGCCUAAAGCGUAGUCAUAUCAUUCCACUGCUGGAUGAGUUAAGCGUGGCUCCUCAGUGACUCCAUCUGUGCCCAUGAGUUUACAUCACUUCUGUCAUUUCAUCAGGUAGAGUAUACUAAGUAUUAAAAAGCGCUCCAGCAUUACUAGCAUAGCAUGACCAUUUCUGAAGAUAAAACUUUUAACAUUUAAACACAAUGAUGAUUCUUCAUUCUUAGUCAAAAUCAUGUUGGAUUCUGACUGUCUUUGAAUCCAUGAAGAAUAUUUACUGUGAUGUUACUACUUUUACCUAGUACUCACCCCUGUAUCUUUUCAAUUAGUUCUGACCCCGGUUACAUGAUAAAUGUAUAGCUUUUUAAAAAUGUAUUACUGCGCUAAAUAUUAGGGAAAAGAAUAUAAACAUUAUGGAAACAAAGAGCCUGCAGAGCCCGUCAGAGCAGAGCCAUAGUUAUGGAACUGACCCUGCAACACAACCUUCCCACCCAUCAGGACGCUGCCAGCCACUGAUCAGUGUAAUAACACAUCAGAACACGGUGCUUCUCCCAGGAACCUUUACCAAGGUCAAAGUACAGAGUUCAAUGUAUUGGGUGAAUAAUUCCCACAGAUAUUACCUCACAUUUCCACAGGAUGGAUGUAUCCACAGGUCUCUUUGUCCACACUGAUUUUCUUAUAUCAGAUCGAUAUCAGCUCCUGCAGGUUGCGAUAUUCCCCGGGCUUUUACCCAGAAUAUCAGUGCGUACCGAGCGGAGCUGUAUGGAAACAGACUGGACUGUGUGAAGUUAAACAUUUCCUCUGGUCCAAAGAAUGUACUGUAGUUUUGUUUGGCAAUGAAGAGUCAAGUGUCCCCCGGGUGAAAUCCCAUCAGCUAUGACAGCUCUCUACUACAGCCCAACAACUCUGAGUCCGUACAGGAACAUCGCUAUAGCCCAUCAAGGUCGUUAUUGGACAAUAAGAGAAAAUUGUCCCAUGGUUUGAUGACGUAUUACGAAGACAAUAAAAAAAGAACAGUGAGUGAGUGGAAGUGGGUGCGUCAAACAAAUAACAACAAAUUACCAAGAGUGUCCAAAAGUGUUGUUGAGUAAUUGUGAAGCUUUUCCUUACUAAUGUUACUUUGCAUUCUUUUAUAUUCGAAUUUACUUGUAAAUCAUGCCCUAUUGUUCCAUGUACGCACCACCCACCAUGACAAUUUCCUGGUCUGUCCAACACACUCGGCAAAUAAAUGUUUCCGAUUCUGAUUUUACUUACUUUACGUACUUAUUUUAAGCCCAGCCAUGAUGUUAUUCCUAAACCAAACCUUUACAUUCACCAGUCUAGCCACAUGUUCACUGCAACCUUAGAAAGUGAUGCCAGAAGUUCUGACCAAUCAGCAGCACUCAAUAGAGUUGGGAUGAGAAGGCCAGCACGCACCGGCUGUGAUAUCUCAUGUGAGCCGACAUACAAGAUCACCACGGAUACACGCAUCGCAUAUAUCCUGCAACCGCGGUUCAAAGUUACGUAAUAGCAAGUAUAAAAAUAAUAAAAAGUCACAAGAAGUAGGUGGGAAGCGUUAACCAGACACAGGACUUUUUGUACUGUGUCACAGGCUGUUUGUGUCUCACAUGAAGCAACUAACUGCACGACACUAAAGGCCGGCGCACACCUCUGCGUUUGCGUCGACGCGCUCGUUUUAAGUCAUGGUUCUGCGGGUGUUGCAGAGCAAUUCACCGCCACAACAACAGGCGGAGUGACGUGUUUUUGUUGAAGACGACCUAGAGAGUCACGUCUAUUUAUUUAUUUGUUUAUUUAUUUAUCAUAGACUUUAUUGCCCCGUGCAUCGCCACUGCUGCUUUUCAUCGCGGACACAUUUGUCCCAUAUUUUCCUCCACAACUUUGUGCACCUCUCGACCGGCAAACCGGCGUUUGCGGCGAUCUCCCUCCAUGAAUCCAACCUGCUUAUACAAGCCGCCAAUGACUGCUUGUAUUUACUCAUUUCUUCAGACAAAAGUUCUUAAAUCUGCUCUGUUCUCUCGUAAACAUUCUUCGUUUUAAUAAUGGCGGUAUCGGGCUGUGAAAGCGGAAAUGUGAGACUCCGUGAAGGACGUAGUUAGCGGACCAAUCGCAGCCUGGUGCGCUGCGGGAGAAAAAUGUCUCGACACACGCAAGGACGCAAGGAGGUGUGAAAAGCGACGCA